UAACCCUUUAAUUAUAGUCCCGUGAGGCUAAGAAGGAACAGUAAGUAACUAUAUAGGUCGAAUUAUGACUUAUUGUGUUUAUUUAACUAUGCCCUCUUGUCAUCGGUGACAAGAGGUUUUUUU
rfam:Bacillus pseudalcaliphilus strain DSM 8725 super5, whole genome shotgun sequence.